rnacentral:lncRNA from 1 species
AUGCUUAGAGUGAUUUUAUUAAAGUUGCAUUUUCAGCAUCACAUUUUUAAUUAUUAUUUCAACAGGAAUGAUGUCUACAAUUUUAACUUGAAUGGAGCUGAUGACCCUACCAUAAGACUUGGUACAGAGGAAUUUCACACUACCAUCCGAGAAACUUCAGUAACUAACUCAAAGAAGUUGUCAGGUUUAAGGAGUCAUGAUGGAAGUGAAGCUUCUCUAAAAGGGAAAGAUAAAAAAGUAAGAUUCUUAAUCAUAAUUCUUAUAAAUAUGUUAAAAACUAUUUUUACAUUCAAAAUGACCAGUUUUCUAUAUUAA